GACGAACGCUGGCGGCGUGCUUAAUACAUGCAAGUCGAACGGAAAGGCCCUGCUUUUGCGGGGUGCUCGAGUGGCGAACGGGUGAGUAACACGUGAGUAACCUGCCCCUGACUUUGGGAUAACUUCAGGAAACUGGGGCUAAUACCGGAUAGGAGCUCCUGCUGCAUGGUGGGGGUUGGUAAGUUUCGGCGGUUGGGGCUGGAUUCGCGGCUUAUCAGCUUGUUGGUGAAGUAGUGACUUACGAAGGCUUUGACGGGUAGCCGGCAUGGGAGGGGGACCAGCCACAAUAGGCCUACGAGAGGGACCAGACGCCAACGGGCCGCAGCGGGGGGGAAUAUUGCGCAAUAGGCGGGAGCCUGAUGCAGCAACGCCGCGUGCGGGAUGACGGCCUUCGGGUUGUAAACCUCUUUCGCCUGUGCCGAAGCGUGAGUGACGGUAAUGGGUAAAAAAGCACCGGCUAACUACGUG
rnacentral:rRNA from 1 species